UGGGGCCCUGCAAAUGGGAAACCCCUGGGUGGAAGGGAGGCAGGGUGACUCCUGGGGCCAGAAGGAGCCAUUAGCAGACACGGAGGACCACCUCUCUGGAAGAAGGGUUGGCACAGCGGCCUCUUAGAGCUGUAGGGCAGCCAUGGCAAACAGCGGUAGUGCUCAAGUUGCAGCUGCAGGGGCUUUACCAGGGACAGAGCAUUCAUGUACAUCGGAGGCUCGUGCUCGAGCUUCCCUGUGACCCCAUCCAUCCCCUGCAGCUCCGUGGAGCAAGUGUGUGCAGAGGGUGAGCCAUCUGGAGAGCAAGCGAGCUGGAUAAUGAAUUUUGUGGCAGCCAAAUAUUUCCAGGAGAAAAAUACAGUGAUGCCCAAGCCCUGUCUACUUCCCGUCUGCUUCAGAGGCCUUGAAUGUAAGUGGUUUACAGUCUGAAGAAACAGGGGUUCUGUCCAUGGGUGAACCCCACCUGCCUGUGCUGACAUUGCUGAAAUCUUCAGUCUCUGUCUGCGAUUGGACAAACGAAAAACUACCAGUAUGCUU